rnacentral:rRNA from 1 species
GACCUACGGGUUAAACGGCCGCGGUACACUGACCGUGCAAAGGUAGCACAAUCACUUGCCUUUUAAUUGGAGGCUGGUAUGAAUGGUUUGACGAGGGCUGAGCUGUCUCUUUUGAAAUAUUUAAAAAUUAACUUCUAGGUGAAAAGGCCUAGAUUAGGCUGAGGGACGAGAAGACCCUGUUGAGCUUUAGUGUGGAGUGAAGGUCUUAAUUUCUAGUUGUACUAGAGAAUUUAAAUUCAUUUUUACAUCUUUAGUUGGGGUGACUGGGGAACAUAGGUAGCUUCUCUGUUUUUGUAAAUUGAAUUUGGUUUGCUGACUGAUGAUCCGGCAUUGUCGAUUAUCGGAAAAAGUUACCACAGGGAUAACAGCGUAAUCUUUCUGGAGAGUUCACAUUGAAAGAAGGGUUUGCGACCUCGAUGUUGGAUUAAGGCGUCCUGAGGGUGUAGCAGCUUUCGUUGGUUGUCUGUU